AGUGAACGCUGGCGGUAGGCCUAACACAUGCAAGUCGAACGGCAGCACAGUAAGAGCUUGCUCUUACGGGUGGCGAGUGGCGGACGGGUGAGGAAUACAUCGGAAUCUACUUUUUCGUGGGGGAUAACGUAGGGAAACUUACGCUAAUACCGCAUACGACCUACGGGUGAAAGCAGGGGAUCUUCGGACCUUGCGCGAUUGAAUGAGCCGAUGUCGGAUUAGCUAGUUGGCGGGGUAAAGGCCCACCAAGGCGACGAUCCGUAGCUGGUCUGAGAGGAUGAUCAGCCACACUGGAACUGAGACACGGUCCAGACUCCUACGGGAGGCAGCAGUGGGGAAUAUUGGACAAUGGGCGCAAGCCUGAUCCAGCCAUACCGCGUGGGUGAAGAAGGCCUUCGGGUUGUAAAGCCCUUAUGUUGGGAAAGAAAAGCAGCAGGUUAAUAUCCCGCUGUUCUGACGGUACCCAAAGAAUAAGCACCGGCUAACUUCGUG
rnacentral:rRNA from 1 species